AAGUCCUAACCCCCAGGACCUCAGAGUGGGACAGGGUCUUUAAAGAGAUGAGAAAGGUAAAAUGAGUGUGAUUCAGGUGGGCCCUGACCCGACGUGAGUGGUACCCUUAUCGAAAGCGGAGGUUAGAGCCCGGGCACGCACCCAGGGAUGACACUGGGAGGAAGCACCCCUACGCGCGCUCUCGCCUCGCACCGGCAGCCUCCAGGGCAGGCGGAAGGCAAGUGUCUGCUGCUUGGCUCCGGGCUCUGUGUGUGUGUGCCGCUGCACGCGCCCAGCCCAGGCUCGUGGCUGGGGCUCACUCCACCCUGCACUGCACCUGGGAAGCAUUUGCAGCUCUUUCUCAUGAAAAGUUGUCCGGAAGGUGUUCUGAACACCUUUGCCUCAAUAAACAAAAGCUGCAAAGCAUGCCGAGACGUCCAUCAGCCCUUGUCAUAAUCAGGUGAACACGUGUCCUGGAAUGACUUGCUUCCCGGAGCAGAAUCACUGCCAAGGCACAAGUACCCCCCAGUCUCUGCACCGGCACUGCCGCACCCAGCUGCACUGGUUUAAGGAACGAAGCCCGCCCGUCCCUGGACUUGAACUUCUCCCUGAAGUUGGGGUGGCCGCUGCAGCAUUGGGUGGUACCCCUUUUCCUUCUGGGAGAUCCUGCGCCCUGUGGAGCCUCUGGGCUCCCAAAGACCCUGACAGCCACAGAAUAUCAUUCCUCUCCCUCAAGGGUGAAAGAUGACUGCUGCAGCUCCAGCCAUCAUUUCCACUUUCCACUCAGAAAGGAGAAGGACGCAUCAGGGAAGAAAGGAUAGCAAAACUUCUGCAGAAAGUUCAGGCACCCCCUUGUGCCACAAGGGCCAGCACGUGCCACGGAGCCACCCCCGUAUGCAAGCCAAGCUGGGAAACUCGGAAUGCUGGCUGCACACUGCCGCCUCAUGGGGAAUUCGAGUACUGCAGAUUCAGGAGCUGAGAAGCGAGGGGACCAGUGUCGAGCCACUGCCUGUGAAGCCAGCAUCUCAUAGGAGAGCAGGUUUGAGCCCCAGCUGCUCUGCUUCUGCUCCAGCUUCCUGCUAAUGCACCUGGGAAAAAUAGCAGAACAUGGUCCACGUGCUUGGGCCCUGCUACCCACAUGGGAGACCUGGAUGAAGCUCCUGGCUCCUGGCCAUUGCAGCCAUUUGGGAUAUGAACCAGAGAACAGAAGAUCUCUCUCUCUCUCUCUCUCUCUCUCUCUCUCUCUCUCUUUCUCUCUGUCUCUCCAUCUCUCUUUGAAGCUCUGAUUUUCAAAUAAAUGGAUAAAUCUUAAAAAAAAAAAAAAAAAAAAAGAUGGCUGGCAACGCGCCUCACUAGGCUAAUACUCCGCCUUGCGGCACCAGCACACUGAGUUCUAGUCCCGGUCGGGGCGCCGGAUUCUGUCCCAGUUGCCCCUCUUCCAGGCCAGCCCUCUGCUGUGGCCAGGGAGUGCAGUGGAGGAUGGCCCAAGUGCUUGGGCCCUGCACCUGCAUGGGAGACCAGGAGAAGCACCUGGCUCCUGGCUUCGGAUCAGCGCAAUGCGCUGGCCGCGGCGGCCAUUGGAGGGUGAACCAACGGAAAAGGAAGACCUUUCUCUCUGUCUCUCUCUCUCACUGUCCACUCUGCCUGUCAAAAAAAAAAAAAAAGAUAAGAAAACAGAUGGUAAAUAGGUCAUCAGUCACUGACACUGUUAUCCAGAGUGGCCAUUUAAGAAGCCCUCCUAGGUCACGUAUCUUGUCAAGUAAAAACAGACGCAUAUGCUCUCUCAGCCUCAUUACUUUAUACUUGUAUAUCCGUUACAAACAUGCCCCACAUGUGAACAGAGUAUUUCAGCAAAACUCAUUCUAAUUUUAGAAGAAGGGACAGAUUUAAAAUAUUCCUUUAGUGCCUCAAUGAUGCUAGAACAAAAUAAACAGUUAUUUUUAAGGCAGAACCCUUAAGACAAAAAAAAAAAAAGAAGGGGAGAUGAACCAAUGGCACCAAGACUGGAGAAGCUGUGAGUGUGACUGAUUGCUCCAGCCGAGGACAGCUGCGCUCGGAGCUGUCCGCCCAGGGCUACACAGCAAGCCGGCUUUCGGGGGGCUCCCCUCCCAGACUCACGCCGGGGGCCCCAGAGUCAUCUGGAGGUGGGAGGACAGCUAGGCUGCCCGUGGACCCCUGCUUCCUCCUCUCCACCUGAGGCAGGGCUUCCGGUCUGGGGACUCCUUGAUCAGUUGAGUACCAUUCGUCUGUUUGCUGUUGCUGACGACACAGUGCCACAGUCAGGGUGAGUUAUAAAGAAAAGAGGCUUUUCUGACUCAUGGUUAUGGAGGCACGAGGUCAAGGGGCCUCCUUGCUGGGAGCGUCCCAGGGUAGCACAGGGCCUCACGUGGUGAGAGACAGGAAGCAGACCCAUGGUAGUAUCCCUCUGGUCUCUCCUUAGCCCCCAGGAUGCAGUCCAAGGAUUUAUCAAGCCCUGACCACCUCCCAGAUGCCCCCCUCUCAGCACCAUAGCUGGGUUAGGUUUCUGCCUUCUCACCAGGAAGGAUUCGAUUUCAACACAUGGAGCCACUGGGGACACACUCCAACCGUGUCCAAGCUGCAGUGCGCACCGUGGGGCCACAGGGCGGCCGAGGAACAUUUGUGUACUAAGCGUGUGGAUCUUGCUGCUGUCUUCUCCCUCUUCUCUCUCAGAGACUGGCAGCCAGGCCACUACUCACCAGCAGGAUGGUGGUGACCUUCCGUGGACUCUGUCCAGCCCAAGAGGAACCCAAAGGAAGCUGACCCGGAGAUGCCCCACAAAGGCCCCACCAAAUUCCUGCCACACAAAACACACAAUUUACACACCCCAGCCAAGACCCUGAACUCCCAACUGUGUCCCCAACGUCCUGGUCUUCAAAGUGAGCUGCAGCCAAGUGUCCCCAAGGGUAGCCUGUUAAUAAAGAAAGAUCGGGAACAAGUAAUGUGGAGGAAAUGGCCAAAACGAAGAGAAAAAAGUUUCAAAAGUAGUAUAAACUUGGCUUUGACACAAUGAUUUUUGUACAUGGAACUUAUAUGAAAUUCAGAUUAAUAAGUAAACCAGGGCCGGCGCCGCGGCUCACUA